rnacentral:rRNA from 1 species
UACAGAGGGGCAAGCGUUGUUCGGAAUUACUGGGCGUAAAGGGCGCGUAGGCGCCUGUUAAGUCGAACGUGAAUCCCCGGGCUCAACCGGGAACUGCGUCCGAUACUGGCAGGCUUGAAUCCGGGAGAGGGAUGUGGAAUUCCAGGUGUAGCGGUGAAUGCGCAGAUAUCAGGAAGAACACCGAUGGCGAAGGCAGCUCUCUGGGACGGUAC